rnacentral:lncRNA from 1 species
CACUGAUACACAUCUACAUGAUGCAGAAAAACUGAUUCUGAGCCCCUAAAACAAUAGAUAUGGGAAUGUUUUCUGUUUUGUUUUGUUUUUCUUCUGUUCCUUUUAAAAGGAGCAUAGUAUCUAAAAGCAUUGCAGAGCAUAGUCUGGGGCCAAUGUCCUCUGUUAUUUGAUAGAAUAAGAUGGGGGUGCUUACCCCACAAGUUCAAACACCAGUAUACCUGCCAACAACAACAACAAAAUGGUUUUAUCUCAGUGUGAACUGAACACAACAGCAAAAAAUGAUCUGCUCAAGAGUGCAGCUGUGUUCAUGAUUACCUUACUGUGGCCUUGGAGAAACAGUCUGCUUGACUGAUAGAAGCAAAAGAAAUUUCCAGACAAGCAGAAAGAACCACGGAAGUGAAGAUUAAGCUGGAGGAGAAAGCAGAAGAAACUAACAUGCAAUGUGAGUCUGGUGACUUUGGUCUAGGUCUGUGGAUGAUAAUGCCACAUUUUGUAAAAUGCCUGAGUGUGAAAACUUAGAUCGAGCUGACGUUGAAGCCAACAGCAUCCCACAGGAGUUUCCAUCAAAGAUGUGUUGUGCUUUAUAAGUUUUAUGAGGGCAAUGCAACUGGCUCAAAUCUCAAGCAAGAAAUUGCCAGUAAGUUAAGAACACAUGUAUAUAAUUUUGUUCUUAU